GGCAAGUUAGUUUCAUUCCUGCCUUAGCCUUUAUUUUUUUUCACCAUGCUACCAUACAAGCGUUACAAUACCCUGCAAGUUGACAACGCAGCCUGGGAGCAAAGCUGAGUACCACACUGCUUGAGAAGUGGUGUUUCUUGUGGGGAAGAAAAUCUGAAGCUUGCUUUGCUAUUUUCCGUCUCCUAACGGGAAAAAGGCUAGGAAGGGGAAAUUAAUGGCGAUCAGCCCCUCCUGGUGUCCACUGAAUGCUUGCUUUUAAGCAGCAGAUUUCAUCCAAAUCUCAGUAAAAUGCAUCUAAUCUAUGUACUUUGUGUUGUCGUACUCAGCUCAUAAGCUGCCCUCCAGCACUGCUGCUGCGUUCCACGCUCUGAUGCAUCAAUCCCAUAAUAUUCUGAUUCUCCAUACGUGACCUCCCUGCACUGUACGGCUGUUUGCAGGGUUAUCCAGGUGCACCACACUGAGUGAAAUUUUGAGUCAUGGCUCAAAGCAAGAGGAUCCAGCACCUUUUCCAAAGAGGACACCUUGUGAGUCACUCUUCUUCUGUAACUCCAGGUGCUCACACCACUCCUACAGAGGGGACAUCUGAUGUUGUCGCACGGUGCUUUUGGUCAUACCUUGUAGCAGUGAGUACCACACGGAAACUGUUUCCUGGGAAAGUGUCUGACCAACAGUUCACUCUCCAAAUUCAGACUCUUGAUCUGGGUGUCUCCGUGCUGGGAUGAGCUCUGGAGCCCAAGCAGGGUGUUAUGCUGGUGGGGAUCAUUGGGAUAUGGAGCGUCUUGGCUGGAUCCCUCUUGGCCCACAGGUCAUUUUCUGGUGCCUAAAUGGGUCUGAAUUGAUGCUCUGCCCUUGCCCAAGUCUCUUGGUGACUCUCACCCUUCCCACUCCACCAAGACCGCCACAUACAGGGGCUCCCAGCUGGGUCCUUUGGGCACAGGAUCAGUCCCAGGAGGGAGAUGCUUGGUGUUUCUUGUUGACAGUCAAGUAUGUUGUCUGCGCUGGUCCUGUUUCACGCCUUCCUUUUAGAUUUCCUUUUUUUAAGGUUGCAUUUCAAGGGAUUACCCUCCAGAGCCGACAGACAGACAGGUCUGUCAGUCUGUCUGCUUAGUGCUCCAUCUUUUCUGCAAAAAAAACCUUGCUCUAUAGCUUGUGAGCCAAGGAUUAAAUGCACAGAAAGAAACAAUUCACUGUGACUUGGCCUGUAAAGUCUUUUGAAAGUUAAGUUAUGGCUGUUAAAUGUUAACACCAUAUAAUGCCUGUCUUUAUCGUAUCUUUGCAAUAAAGUGAUGACAUGGCUCUAUUAUGAGCUAGUCACAUAGAAGCUCCCAAACCUACAGUAUUGUAACGGCAUUUAAUCUCCUUUCCAAGUGCCUGAGAGUUUCGCACAGGCUUUGUCUGCAGCAUUUCUCCGGGAUCGCCCAGCGCUCACACUAAGGCGAAGACAUUUUAAAGAGAAAAGAUGAAACCGCCAAGCCCACCCCCAGCUGUGCGAGGCCUGGGAAAUCUCACCCUUUCCCUCGGCCGCCACAAUGCCUCGCCUGCCUCGCCUGCCUCGCGCUGCCACGCUACCUGUCCUUCUCCCAUCCUCAAGGACAACUGCAAACUUGCUUAUCAGCCUGUAAAUCAGCUGUGGCAAUAAAAGGCUGGCAUCCAGAGCAA